AUACGGAGGGGGUUAGCGUUGUUCGGAAUUACUGGGCGUAAAGCGCACGUAGGCGGACUGGAAAGUUGGGGGUGAAAUCCCGGGGCUCAACCCCGGAACUGCCUCCAAAACUUCCAAUCUAGAGAUCGAGAGAGGUGAGUGGAAUUCCAAGUGUAGAGGUGAAAUUCGUAGAUAUUUGGAGGAACACCAGUGGCGAAGGCGGCUCACUGGCUCGAUUCUGACGCUGAGGUGCGAAAGCGUGGGGAGCAAACAGGAUUAGAAACCCUAGUAGUCC
rnacentral:rRNA from 1 species